rnacentral:misc_RNA from 1 species
UACGGAGGAUCCAAGCGUUAUCCGGAUUCAUUGGGUUUAAAGGGUCCGUAGGCGGAUUUUUAAGUCAGAGGUGAAAGCCUGCAGCUCAACUGUGGAACUGCCUUUGAUACUGGAGAUCUUGAGUGUGCGUGAAGUAGGCGGAAUAAGUCAUGUAGCGGUGAAAUGCAUAGAUAUGACUUAGAACACCGAUUGCGAAGGCAGCUUACUAAAGCACUACUGACGCUGAGGGACGAAAGCGUGGGGAGCGAACAGG